UGAUGGGAGGGCGAUCUGGCUGCAAUAUCUGUCACCUCAUUGAUCGCCAGGGUUAAUUCAGCUGAUCUGGCUGGCUAGGCAGGUAUCCCUUCCUUCCUCACCUUUCCACGUGCAUCCCUCCUGAGAGUGCAUGUUUGGUCGAAGAGGAUGACCAUCCCUGAUAGAGGAGGACCAGUCUUCAGUCAAGGGUGUACAAGUAGCUGCACUCCCCUGCUAGAACCUCCAAACAAGCUCUCAAGAAUGUUUGCUUUAAAAAAAAAAACAAAACUAGUUUUAGAGCAGUUUUGUGCAUAACAGAAUCUAACUGACUCAAUAAUGAUCCCUGAACUUACUGCAUAAAAAC
ensembl:misc_RNA 7SK 7SK RNA